UCUGGCGACCGCGCACGGUGAGUAACACGUAUCAACCUAGCCGAUAACUCGGGGAUAGCCUUUCGAAGAAAGAUUAAUACCCGAUGGCAUAAUUAGACCGCAUGGUCUUAUUAUUAAAGAAUUUCGGUUAUCGAUGGGGAUGCGUUCCAUUAGGCAGUUGGUGAGGUAACGGCUCACCAAACCUUCGAUGGAUAGGGGUUCUGAGAGGAAGGUCCCCCACAUUGGAACUGAGACACGGUCCAA
rnacentral:rRNA from 1 species